rnacentral:lncRNA from 1 species
CUAAUACAAUAAAGAAUCACAUAUAUUGCUUUUAAUUGGGUUUGGCCAACAGAACAAGAUCAGAGGACACGAGAGAGAUGUCAGGGUCUUGAUUUCCCCGGCUCUCCUUUUGUGUGGCUGGAGGUCAGUAGAGACUGCUCUCAUUGCUGAAGACCAUUGCUCCUGUCAUGGGCUCUCUUCACAGCUCUUUUGGGCUCCUAUGGGUCUGGGGCUGUGAUAUGAUUUGGCUGUGUCCCCAUCCAAAUCUCAUCUUGAACUGUAGUUCCCAUAAUUCCAACAUGUCAUUGGAGGGACCUGGUGGGAGGUAAUUGAAUCUUGGGUGUUAUUAUCCCCAUGCUGCUGUUUUCAUGAUAGUGAGUUCUCAUGAGAUCUGAUGGUUUUAUAAAGGGCUUUUCCCUCUUUGCUAGGCAAUUCUCCUUCCUGCCAGCAUGUGAAGAUGGACAUGUUUGCUUCCCCUUCUACCAUGAUUGUAAAUUUCCUGAGGCUUCCCCAGCCAUGCAGAACUGCAGGAGUGCAGCGGUGUGAUCAUGGCUUACUGCAUCCUCGAAGUUCUGGGCUCAACUGAUCCUCCCUCCUUACCCUUCUGAGUAGUUUGGACUACAGACAUGCAGUAAGAUGCCUGGCUAUUUUAUUUUUAUUUAUUUAUUUUUGUAGAGUCAAGGUCUCACUAUGUUGCCCAGGCUGGCCUUGAGCUCCUGAGCUCAAGCAAUCCUCCAGCCUUGGCUUCCUAAAGUGCUUUAUAGCUUUUAUAUAAUCUCUUGUAAGUCUGCCACUGGCUCAUGCAUAUUAUAUUUUCUACAUUGUUACCAAGCAAGGGAUCACACACAAAUAUUUGUAUUGCCCAACGCAGUUAGCAAAGAGUAGGACACAUAGGUAUUAUCAACAAGGGUUUAUUGAGAGAGAUUCUAAGGAAAGGCAGACUGUGGCUUGACUUCUCAGCACCUGUUGCUCAGCAGUCACCUCCUGGUAAAAAGCAUCUUAAACAUUAAAAAAGAUUUUCAGUAUCCCUAGUCAUUAAAAAAUGCAAAUUAAAAUCACAAUACUUCACCAGUAUAGUGCAUUAAAAGACUAACAAUGCCAAAUUUGGGCAGGUAUGUGGGGAUCCUUAUCUCUCUCUGAAAGCAUUUGCUGUCUUUUUUUGAUAUAAUUUUUUUCCUCAAAGUUGAUUUCAUAUGACGUGCGUUUCUACUUACUUAAUCCCUAAGCAUCCCCUGCCUGCCCACCAUCCUGUUGAUUUAAAUGUAAUCAGAGAAAUUGCAGAUAACAGGUAAACACUGAUUCCUUGUCAGACAACUUGGAACAUUUUAUCUUGGAAACCCUUUCAGGAGCAAAUAAAGGUAGAACAAAACCAAAGCAGAGCCCAACCAGAAAAGGCUGGAGUUAUUUCUCAGGUUAAGCCCCACUAUUAGAUUAUUCCUACACUGCCAGGUCUUUGUUUGUUUGUUUUGGUUCUUGACAUGCGGUCUUUAUGCUGGAGGCAUAACUACCACCCACAGAACACCUGUGAUGAGGUGGCAGUGACAGAAGCUUCUUGUCCCACUCUGCUCCCUUAGCAAACAUACAAGCUGGGAUUUGAAGGUCUGCCUUUACUGCAAAUCUUUUCUACAGGGAAAAUGAAACAAUACUAUUUUUUUUUAGUCAUGUGCAAAUUCAUCAGGAACUCUUAGGAUAACCUGAACCUCUGAGCAUCUAUUUCCUCUCAGUGUUCAGGCGUCAUAAUAGCAGUAUCUAAUAGACAAAGUCUUUUCAAUGAGCAGUAAGCAGGGAUGAGUGCAGAAACCCUCUCAGGGUUCCUAAGGGAUGGAAUUCCUUUUCUUGCUGUUACUGUUGGCUGUCUAAUUCCCUGAUUUACUGCCAGUGUGGAUACGAAUUCCUCCGGUGCCUAGUGUCACUGUUCCAUUAGCAGGUUUUGCACAUUUUAUUGCUAAGCAACAAUUAGCACUGUGAAUCCUGCCUUCUGUGAUUUCAGUUUGGGCUUCACACAUGAAAUUUUGCUUUCAUCUUUGCAACACAGCAACAGUGUUCACUGUUCAGUGAAAGCUGUUUUAGAAGAACCUGAGAGAAAAAAAUUGAGGAGUUAACAGCAGGUAUUCAGCCAUUCAGUGGUAUGGUUUUGAAAUGUUAUUUAUGAAAGGAUCUUCUCUAAUUAGAUAUCCAAUAAUUUGAAAGUAAUGCUAAAGGUUGGAGAUAAACUCAAAGCAAUUCAAUUUGGCCUUAAGGGGGAAAUGAUAACAGUAAAAUAAUUAUAAAAAUCCUGAAAGAGAACAAACUAAAGGUCCACAGGAAAAAGAAAAAAUCCU